AUUGAACGCUGGCGGCAGGCCUAACACAUGCAAGUCGAACGAGUGGCGGACGGGUGAGUAAUGUCUGGGAAACUGCCUGAUGGAGGGGGAUAACUACUGGAACCGGUAGCUAAUACCGCAUAACAUCCAAUGUGACCAGAUGGGAUUAGCUUGUUGGUGGGGUAACGGCGCACCAAGGCGACGAUCCCUAGCUGGUCUGAGAGGAGUACCAGCCACACUGGAACUGCGACACGGUCCAGACUCCGACGGGAGGCAGCAGUGGGGAAUAUUGCACGAGGGGCGCAAGCCUGAUGCAGCCAUGCCGCGUGUAUUAAGAAGGCCUUAGGGUUGUAAAGUACUUUCAGCGGGGAGGCGUUACCCGCAGAAGAAGCACCGGCUAACUCCGUGCCAGCAGCCGCGGUAAUAC
rnacentral:rRNA from 1 species